rnacentral:tRNA from 1 species
GCGGGGGUCGCCAAGCCUGGCCAAAGGCGCAGGGCUUAGGACCCUGUCCCGUAGGGGUUCGUGGGUUCAAAUCCCACCCCCCGCACCA